rnacentral:rRNA from 1 species
UGGGGAAUUUUCCGCAAUGGGCGAAAGCCUGACGGAGCAACGCCGCGUGAGGGAUGAAGGCCUCUGGGCUGUAAACCUCUUUUAUCAAGGAAGAAGAUCUGACGGUACUUGAUGAAUAAGCCACGGCUAAUUCCGUGCCAGCAGCCGCGGUAAUACGGGAGUGGCAAGCGUUAUCCGGAAUUAUUGGGCGUAAAGCGUCCGCAGGCGGUCUGUCAAGUCUGCUGUUAAAGCGUGGAGCUUAACUCCAUUUCGGCAGUGGAAACUGACAGACUAGAGUGUGGUAGGGGCAGAGGGAAUUCCCGGUGUAGCGGUGAAAUGCGUAGAUAUCGGGAAGAACACCAGUGGCGAAGGCGCUCUGCUGGGCCAUAACUGACGCUGAGGAGCGAAAGCGUGGGGAGCAAACA